GUUUCAUAUCUUUAAUUUGUGCUACAUAUCUUAACUACGUGUCAAUAACCAUCGAUCAUUCCUCGCUCUACCGUUUAAUUCGAACUAAGGCUAUCCAAAAAACGCGCCAAAUUGGGAGCGACCAUCGCAUUUCGACACCCCCCAUUGCAAGGGGCGCCAAAUUUCAUCAGCUUCCGGUUCCUCUUUCCUUCUCCAAUUUAGCCCUAAAAUUUCUCCUGCGAUUACUCACUUGAUUGUUCAAAAUUCGGAGCAGGACGAAGAAAUAAAGAGUGGAACGCUUCAAAUCAACUGGCUCGACUCAAAGUCAGUGCUCACCCUAGACCUUCAUCCACUUUCAUCUCUCCUUGCAACCGGCGGGGCUGAUUUCGUUAUCAAGGAGGUGAGCUGAUCAUAUGGAAAUUGCACCAUUUGGAAAGUGGCCAGACUUGGAAGGUCCUGGAGACGUUAUUGCAAGGCUUAUAAAUUUUUUAAAAUUUUUUAUUUCAACUUGUUUUGGUGACUCAAUAAAAUGAUGCUCUUUUCAUAUUAUCAGAUGCAGUGAUUAUAAACGAGGAUCAAAAUAGGAAAGCAGAAGCAGAAGUGAAACAAAAAGAAAAUAAAAGCGUUGAAAAACCAGAUAACACAGUGGUUGAAAAAAUAGCUGAGAGGAAAGGACAUGAAAUGGAAAAGAAAACAAGUAAACACAGGUACAUAAGCUCUUCAAGCCACUCUGUUGCCAGCAAGCCAGCCAAAAGGAGCAUUACACCCAUGGUUAUUGAUUCAAGAGAGAGGAAUAAAAGAGUUUGAGUUGACAUGACGAUGAGGUUAUAUGUAGGCCCAAGUGUGUUGGACCAGAUGAUUUGUUGGGUUGUGUCACAAAGGUCACAUGAAUUGACAAGACCCAUUGGCACAGCUUGCAACUUGGCUGGACUUGCAGGGUUAUGAGAAAGUCACCUCGUGUUAAACCCAGAGCUGCAGAUAGAGCAACACUUCUGGUACCGCAAGGCAGCUGUCUCAAAGUCUGUAUUAUCUAUGAGUAGCUACCAAAGACCUAAUGAAUCUCAACCCAUCAAACCUUCCACAAAUUUCUUCUGAAUCUGAUUCCAAAACGAAACCCUAAAGAUACACUCCACCAAAUCAAAACCCAAUCAGGUAAUCAAACUUACUCGAAAUUGAAAAUGGAACACUCAAAAUUAAAGGGUAUAAAGAUUAUACCUGGGAGUAUAAAGAGUGAGGUCACGAUCUCCAUUGGAGGAGGAUGAAGAAAAUGAGAAACCAUGGUCAAGGUGAGCAAAAAAAAAAAAAACAAUUUUGUUUUUUCUUUCUAAUUUUGAAUUUAACUUAACGAGGAUCCAACGUCCGUUGGAGUUGAAGUGGGGAACGAAUUAUUCUUUAUAGAAUGUGGAAACUUCUCCCUAGCAGACAUACUUCAAAAUUGUGAUGCUGAUGGCGAUAUGUAACAGACUAAACUGGACAAUAUCUGUUAGCGGGAUGAGCUUGAACUGUUACGAAAGUUAUCAGAGUCAGACAUUGUGCGGUGUGCUACAAAUUUCACAUCGGUUGAAGGGAAAUAAAGCACUCGAAUCCCUGAUAGAAAUAAAUUGUGA